rnacentral:lncRNA from 1 species
CCUUCGCAUUUAAAACCCUCACAUAUUGUGUUCAAAAUAAAUGUAACAUAAUUCAAACUUUCAAUGUUAAUGUCGUUUUUAAUUCGACUUUUUGGUCUCUAUCUUUCAUUUUUUGUAACUUUUCACCAUCCUAUUCUUGAUUCUGUACGAAUCAAUAAGCAUAACAUCACUCACAACAUAGGAACCAAUAGAAGAAUUCUCAAAUUAAAAUCAACAAAUCCCCCGAAACACACAGAAAAAUAAAAUAUAAAAAACAAAAAUUAUCAAAGGUUGCUUUAAUUCAAAUCAGCUCUCUUUUUUAAAAAUGUUAAACCCCAACCUUGAGGGCUCUCAUCGCCCCUCCCCCCAGAACUUUGUGAGGGAGGUAAAUCGCGAGAUGUGCUCCAACAGGCCAGGAAAUAAGAGCUACUUGUACACUACGCUUACAAGGAGUCCAAUUCUAUAUUUCAGGAAUCGAACCCCCACACUGCGGCUGCCAACAAAUCAGCUCUCUUUUUUCCUCGCAAUUCUGGGAAAUCGGAUCACAACUUCAAAAUCAAGCCCCGCUUCAUAUGCCUACGCAAAAGUAAAAAUGACAGUAAAAAAAACCACAAGAGAAAAGCGAAUUAAAGAAAUUUGAUGAAAAAGAAUGACAAAAUAAAAUGAAAUGCUGAUCUGGGAUUUAAAAGGGAGCACUUACUUAUUACAUUUUGAGAUGUAAAAUUAGUAAUCAAACUACUAAAAUCGACUUUUUCCAAACCUCUCCAAAAAUAAAGGAUUCGGCAAUAACAAAUGGCCUGCAAAUAUAUAGUUAUAGAGAAUAAGCAAAAGUCUACCUUGAGCAAAUAACUAAAAGGAUAAAAAAAAGUCUAUUACAACACAUUAAGGGGGUUUUUUCUUGAAGCUCCAAUAUUAAAACCAUCAGGUAAAAUUACAGGAGAACAAACACACAGGCGCAUAUUAAUUUAUUGCUAAUUAAAAUUUAAAAUGCAAAAGUGAAAUUCUAAAAAAUUAACACUAAAGCUGCAUCUGCUCCUGUACAAAAUGCUCUCCCUCAUCCUUAUUGAGUUAAACGCCUGAUCUUUAGUCCCAUCACAAUUUACACACAAUCAAAAUCUGCGAAGACAUGAGUUAAACUCCUUUCUUCAUUUCUUUAAUAAAUAAAAUAAUCAACAGUUAUUUGUUGAAUUGGGUUCAAUGAAUAUAAUAUUAAUAAAUUCAUUCUCUUUCUUAGUGGGUUGGAUUUUAAUUGAAUUUUGUUGAUUACCGUAGUUCGAAUAGAUUAAUGGAAUGCCCCUAUUAUGAUUAUUGCUUCUCUCCAUCGCUAAUGGCAUAUCAAAUUAUAAAAUCUUGAUGCAAUGAACUCACAAGUUUUGAAACAAAUAUAAAUGAAUUUAUGCCAGUUUUAACAAAGAAAUUCAUAAUUUGAGAGUGAGGGUUUAACCAAUAAAUAAUUUUACCUGGUAAAAUUUUUCUCUCCUCAUAUUCCAUUGUUUAUCUCAAACUUUGUGACCGAAUCCACCGUCUGUGUAUAGGAUUUACAAAAGAAGAGAAUAUCCAUGGCUAUAUUUCAAGUGAGGUUUUUGCAAAGGGGAUUCAAAUCACAAAAAGAAAUUGACGAAAACGUGAAGAGAAGACAACUGCCAACAGGUUCUUCAGAAAUCAGAUUUGUAGACUAAAAAUUUAACGGAAUAUAGAGAUUUUUUGGUGGAGAAUGAAGAUGCUUGCCGGUUGGAGUCUUGUAGAAAAAGACGGUGAUUGUUUGUUUCUCAUUGCUCAAAUUUUUUUAUUUUUUCUAAGGGAUUUGAGGGGUUUUGGAUUGGGG